rnacentral:rRNA from 1 species
UACAGAGGUCUCAAGCGUUGUUCGGAUUCAUUGGGCGUAAAGGGUGCGUAGGCGGCGCGGUAAGUCGGGUGUGAAAUCUCGGAGCUUAACUCCGAAACUGCAUUCGAUACUGCCGUGCUUGAGGACUGGGAGAGGGAUGCGGAAUUCCAGGUGUAGCGGUGAAAUGCGUAGAUAUCUGGAGGAACACCGGUGGCGAAGGCGGCAUCCUGGACCAACACUGACGCUGAGUGAGCGAAAGCCAGGGGAGCAAACGGG